GACGAACGCUGGCGGCGUGCUUAACACAUGCAAGUCGAACGGAAAGGCCCUGCUUUUGUGGGGUGCUCGAGUGGCGAACGGGUGAGUAACACGUGAGUAACCUGCCCUUGACUUUGGGAUAACUUCAGGAAACUGGGGCUAAUACCGGAUAGGAGCUCCUGCUGCAUGGUGGGGGUUGGAAAGUUUCGGCGGUUGGGGAUGGACUCGCGGCUUAUCAGCUUGUUGGUGGGGUAGUGGCUUACCAAGGCUUUGACGGGUAGCCGGCCUGAGAGGGUGACCGGCCACAUUGGGACUGAGAUACGGCCCAGACUCCUACGGGAGGCAGCAGUGGGGAAUAUGGCACAAUGGGCGGAAGCCUGAUGCAGCAACGCCGCGUGCGGGAUGACGGCCUUGGGGUUGUAAACCGCUUUCGCCUGUGACGAAGCGUGAGUGACGGUAAUGGGUAAAGAAGCACCGGCUAACUAC
rnacentral:rRNA from 1 species